rnacentral:rRNA from 1 species
UACGGAGGAUGCGAGCGUUAUCCGGAUUUAUUGGGUUUAAAGGGUGCGUAGGCGGAGUGCCAAGUCAGCGGUAAAAAUUCGGGGCUCAACCCCGUCGUGCCGUUGAAACUGGCGCCCUUGAGUGGGCGAGAAGUAUGCGGAAUGCGUGGUGUAGCGGUGAAAUGCAUAGAUAUCACGCAGAACCCCGAUUGCGAAGGCAGCAUACCGGCGCCCGACUGACGCUGAAGCACGAAAGCGUGGGGAGCAAACAGG